CAGUCGAGGGGUAUAGUUCUUCGGAAUUAGAGACCGGCGCACGGGUGCGUAACGCGUAUGCAAUCUACCUUUCACAGAGGGAUAGCCCAGAGAAAUUUGGAUUAAUACCUCAUAGUAUUAUGAAAUGGCAUCAUUUUAUAAUUAAAGUCACAACGGUGAAAGAUGAGCAUGCGUCCCAUUAGCUAGUUGGUAUGGUAACGGCAUACCAAGGCUACGAUGGGUAGGGGUCCUGAGAGGGAGAUCCCCCACACUGGUACUGAGACACGGACCAGACUCCUACGGGAGGCAGCAGUGAGGAAUAUUGGACAAUGGGCGCAAGCCUGAUCCAGCCAUGCCGCGUGCAGGAUGACGGUCCUAUGGAUUGUAAACUGCUUUUGCACAGGAAGAAACAACGCUACGUGUAGCGUCUUGACGGUACUGUGAGAAUAAGGAUCGGCUAACUCCGUGCCAGCAGCCGCGGUAAUACGGAGGAUCCAAGCGUUAUCCGGAAUCAUUGGGUUUAAAGGGUCCGUAGGCGGUUUAAUAAGUCAGUGGUGAAAGCCCAUCGCUCAACGGUGGAACGGCCAUUGAUACUGUUAGACUUGAAUUAUUAGGAAGUAACUAGAAUAUGUAGUGUAGCGGUGAAAUGCUUAGAGAUUACAUGGAAUACCAAUUGCGAAGGCAGGUUACUACUAAUUGAUUGACGCUGAUGGACGAAAGCGUGGGUAGCGAACAGGAUUAGAUA
rnacentral:rRNA from 1 species